rnacentral:rRNA from 1 species
AUUGAACGCUGGCGGCAGGCCUAACACAUGCAAGUCGAACGAGUGGCGGACGGGUUCGUAAUGUCUGGGAAACUGCCUGAUGGAGGGGGAUAACUACUGGAAACGGUAGCUAAUACCGCAUACCAUCGGAUGUGCCCAGCUGGGCUUAGCUAGUAGGUGGGUUAACGGCUAACCUAGGCGACGACCCCUAGCGGGUCUGAGAGGAUGACCAGCCAAACUGGAACUGUGACACGGGCCAGAAUCCUACGGGAGGCAGCAGUGGGGAAGAUUGCACAAUGGGCGCAAGCCUGAUGCAGCAAUGCCGAGUGUAUGAAGAAGGCCUUCGGGUUGUAAAGUACUUUCAGCGGGGAGGCGUUACCCGCAGAAGAAGCACCGGCUAACUCCGUGCCAGCAGCCGCGGUAAUAC